UACGAAGGGUGCAAGCGUUACUCGGAAUUACUGGGCGUAAAGCGUGCGUAGGUGGUUCGUUAAGUCUGUCGUGAAAGCCCCCGGCUCAACUGGGGAGGGUCACUCGAUACUGAUCGACUCGAAGGCAGGAGAGGGAAGCGGAAUUCCCGGUGUAGUGGUGAAAUGCGUAGAUAUCGGGAGGAACACCAGUGGCGAAGGCGGCUUCCUGGCCUGUUCUUGACGCUGAGGCGCGAAAGCUAGGGGAGCAAACGGG
rnacentral:rRNA from 1 species